rnacentral:rRNA from 1 species
UACGUAGGAGACGAGCGUUGUCCGGAAUUACUGGGCGUAAAGCGCGUGUAGGCGGAUGAGCAAGUCUGCUGUGAAAGCUCCUGGCUUAACCGGGAGUGGUCGGUGGAAACUGCUCGUCUGGAGGACGGUAGAGGUAGGUAGAAUUCCAGGUGUAGCGGUGAAAUGCGUAGAUAUCUGGAGGAAUACCGGUGGCGAAGGCGGCAUCCUGGACCGAGAUUGACGCUGAUGAGCGAAAGCUAGGGGGAGCAAACGGG